rnacentral:lncRNA from 1 species
GAAACUGAGACGCUGUCUGUAAGCUGCCCAAGGUCACAUAACUGCUAAGUGCUGUACCCAAGGCUAGAACCCAUGCUCUUAACUACUACAUGAAACUGCUGAUUGCUCUUCUGAUGAGCUUUGACUGAAUCCACUGGGGUCAGAAGCACAUGUGUUUCUGAACAGAAAGGUGCACAGAGGAAAGGGCAUGUGAGGACACAGAUAUAAGGCAACCGUCUGCAGCCCGACCAGCAAGAUCUUACCAGAAACAAACCCUGCUGGCAUCGUGAUCUUGGACUUCCAGCCUCCGUAACUGUGAAACAGUACACUUCUGUUGUUUAAGCAUUCAGCCUAUAGUAUUUUGCUACAGCAGCCUGAACUGACUCAUACAAUCACUAAAUUAACAAAAGGGGGGAUUAAAAGUAUUAUAUCUGUUUCACUCAAGACAUGAGUAGGAAACAGAAAAGUUGGACCAAAAAAACCAGAUAAACAGAAAUUUAGUAAAUGUUUGGAAAAUUCUCAGCCAGUGCUCUCAAGGUGGCAGUUGAAGAAAUGGAAAUCUUCUCUCCUAGUGAUACACCCCCU